rnacentral:misc_RNA from 2 species
CGAGGUCAACCUUUGGAAAAUUGGGGGUUUUACGGCAAGAGUCCCUCCGGAUCCCAGUGCGAGACGUAAAGUUACUACGCAAAGGAGGCUCCGGGAGGGUCCGCCACUACCUUUGAGGGCCUACAUCAGCUGUAGGGCCCCAACACCAAGCAGAGCUUGAGGGUUGAAAUGACGCUCGAACAGGCAUGCCCGCCAGAAUGCUGGCGGGCGCAAUGUGCGUUCAAAGAUUCGAUGAUUCACUGAAUUCUGCAAUUCACAUUACUUAUCGCAUUUCGCUGCGUUCUUCAUCGAUGCCAGAACCAAGAGAUCCGUUGUUAAAAGUUUUGAUUAUUUGCUUGUACCACUCAGAAGAAACGUCGUUAAAUCAGAGUUUGGUUAUCCUCCGGCGGGCGCCGACCCGCCCGGGGGCGGGAGGCCGGGAGGGUCACGGAGACCCUGCCCGCCGAAGCAACAGUUAUAGGUAUGUUCACAAAGGGUUGUAGAGCGUA